CUUCCUGAUGUAGGAAUUGAUCAAUCUUGGAGUGAAGAACAUCAUGGUUCCAGGAUUGGUGCCAGAUGGAUGUAUGCCAAUUUCGUUAACAAUGUUCAAGGGCUAUAAGAAAGAAGAUUAUGAUCCAAUAACAGGUUGUCUCAUUUGGUUAAACGAUUUCUCCGAGUAUCACAAUGAACUACUUCAAGCAGAGUUAACUCGAAUUCGGCAAAGGCAUCGUAAUGCAGUAGUAAUGUAUGCCAAUUAUUACGAUGCUCUCAUGCAGCUUUAUCUCUCUCCAGAGCAACAUGGACUCUCAUAAUUCUGAGAGAAGCAUUUCUUGUGAACGUUCUUUUUAAGGGUUUGGGGGAGAACCUCUAAUGGCCUGCUGUGGUGCGGGAGGCAUCCCCUACAAUUAUGACUCCGAUGCUGUGUGUGGCGACCCGCCCUCGACAGCUUGUGCUCAGCCAUCUUUAUCUAUCAGCUGGGAUGGGGCUCACUGUACUGAAGCUGCAAACAAAUUUAUCACCAAAAGUUUAGUAGAAGGGCCGUACACCGCUCCUCACAUCAACUCUUCUUGCAGUUUAAUUACUGAGGAAUCUGGACAUUCUUCAGCAGCCACUGCUACUACGAGAUAAAACUACUUUUUUUUUUUUUAUAUCCCACAAGCUCAACCAAAAGGCAAUUGCUGAAGUCUGGCAACACUUAUGAAACCUAAAUCCUAGACACUCACACCCUCACAAGACGAUGUGAGGACUCAGGGAGAGGGAACAGGGAGCUUCUACUAAGCAUUAAUUAGCAUCCACUCACUCUGUGUUUAACCUCACCUCGGAUCUAUUUCUUAAUUGUGUGUAUCAAGAUAAAACUACUUAAUAGUGUGUAUCAAGAGGUUUUCUGAAACCUGGCAGGUCUUUUUUUCUAUUCUUUUUUUUUGGUGACAUUAAUGGAGUAAUUGUAUUGACUAGCAUCCAACCUAGAACUUGGGCUAUUAUUUCUUGGAUUAAAAUUGACAACU